CGGGUCGGCCCCGAGGCCGGUGCCGUCGCGCGGCUGGGGCCGCGCGUCAGGGGGGGGGUACUGUGACGACUACGACCUCUGCUGGUUCACCUCCCCCUGCAGCGGGCGGGCCCCGGCGGUCGACGUCACCGGCUUUCUGACACCACCGUCUCAUCAUGCAUUUCACCUGUGUCUCGUUUAGUGCACCUGUUCAUCAUCACUGUUUCCCCCGGUAUAUAUGUUCCCUCUGCUCCCCCUGUCUUUGUGUGUGAUUGUGCUCUGCCACUGUGUUUAUGUAUGCGUCUAUGUAAGACGCUCGUGCUGUAUAUUUUGUUCCAGUUCUAUAUAAAAACCUUCAUCCGCCACGCCUUCUCCGGUUCCUCCUUGCUUCCUCAACCUCCGCCGUGACAUCCAUUCAUUAAAAAUUGCUCUAUUGGGCUCUAAUGGAUCGUAAUAAAUCAAAACAGACAGUUGAAAUGAAGAUCAAUGAUGAGAUAACCCAUUCCCAGAUUUCUCAGAUUACACCAAAACAGUGUUCUGCCAUGAGUGUUGAUCAUCCCAGUUGCUCCUGGUGUGUUUUGCACUGUGUUCAAUGAUGUGUUAACAAAUGAUACGUGAUCAGAUGCUUAAUAAAACACAUGCAUAUCCUGCAAAGGAAGUAACCUACUUUUGCAAUGACAGGAUCUGGAUUUUUUUUUUUGUUUUAAGAUGCUUAACAUCUCAGGUUUUUAAUUCUGCUGUACUCCUAACACCAACAUAGUGUUUUUAACAUUGAUUCUGUUAUGAACAUGUUUUGUGAACAACAGAUGUAGACAAUUCUAAAAUGCUUACACAUCGGUCCAUUUACAGAAAUGCAGAUUUAACUAAAUAGAAAAAGUAAGUUCGAAAAAUGCAACUUAAGGAAAAACAGACAAUAACAGUAUCAUUGUAUAGCCUAAAUGUUUCUUUAUAUGAUCAACACUUACAGGAAACGCCAGUACCAGUACAGAGUCCAUGUGCAUGGAUACAGGGUCAAUUUAGGUUCAUGUAUAGUUAGGGUUUCCCCAAAUAGGUAUAUGUUAAACUGCUGGCCAGCCGACGUACUGGAGAUCAGUUCCGCCUCAUUUCGACCCUAUUCGCGGGAUCUCUGCGCCUACUGGCUCCUGCUCAAUUUAACCUCUGCGGUUUGUGUGUUCUUGGCUGAGGGCUUCGGGUCCGCGUUAUCUUGAAGGUACUCUACUGUCUUGAUCCUGUAUCCAUGCACACGGACUCUACUGACGUUUCCUGUAAGUGUUGAUCAUAAAUAAACAUUUAUAAUAAUACAUAUAUAUAUAUAGCUCCGGAAAAAAUUGAGACCACUUCACCUUGUUCUUUCCUUUCCAAAAAAGUUGAAAAGUAAAGUUUUAGUAAAGGAAAAGAAGCAACCAAUUUGCAGUAGUCCCUUAAUUUUUACCCUUCUGUCCCUCACUCAAAACUUUCCUUUUCGACUUUUUUGAAAAGGAAAGAAAAGGGUGUAGCGGUCUUUUAAUAUAUGCUGUAUAUAUAACAGAUUGUAAAAUGUCAAUGAGUUGACACGGAAAGUAAUGAGCUGUGAGGUACGAGGAAAUUGGCUUAGUGUGUAGUUUACUUUUGUCUCCUAUUUAAACUGUUGACACUUUAGGACUGCCUUUUCGAAAUCAGGUUACACACUGUACUUUACCACGCAAUAACCUAUGUGUGUCA
rnacentral:lncRNA from 1 species